UACGAAGGGGGCGAGCGUUGUUCGGAAUUACUGGGCGUAAAGGGCGCGCAGGCGGCCUUUCAAGUCAGAUGUGAAAGCCCCGGGCUCAACCUGGGAAUGGCAUUUGGGACUGGAAGGCUCGGGAUCGGGAGAGGAGGGUGGAAUUCCCAGUGUAGAGGUGAAAUUCGUAGAUAUUGGGAAGAACACCGGUGGCGAAGGCGGCUCUCUGGACCGAUACUGACGCUGAGGCGCGAAAGCGUGGGGAGCAAACAGG
rnacentral:rRNA from 1 species